UACGUAGGGUGCAAGCGUUAAUCGGAAUUACUGGGCGUAAAGCGUGCGCAGGCGGUGAUGUAAGACAGAUGUGAAAUCCCCGGGCUCAACCUGGGAACUGCAUUUGUGACUGCAUCGCUGGAGUGCGGCAGAGGGGGAUGGAAUUCCGCGUGUAGCAGUGAAAUGCGUAGAGAUGUGGAGGAAUACCGAUGGCGAAGGCAGCCCCCUGGGCCAAUACUGACGCUCAUGCACGAAAGCGUGGGGAGCAAACAGG
rnacentral:rRNA from 1 species